AUUGAGUGCAAUAGAGGUGAAGGAACUGCGCGAAGCCCUUUAAGUUAUUGUUGAAGGUUUGGACCUAGAUUCACUCUUGUGCUAGAGUUUGGUGUAGUCCUCGAUUAUAAACUGUGUACAAUGUUAAUGUAGUGACAUAGUUUGUAUGAUGCAGUUCAUAGUGAUGUUUGAAGGUAUUUGUAUGAACUGUGUCCUGGACAUAGUUUGUAUGAUGCAAUUCAUAUUGAUGUUGUUUGAAGCUAUUUGUAUGAAUUAUGAUGUCUGAUGUAGUUUGUAUGAACUAUGUCAUAUUAUGUUGAAUGAAGCUAUUGAAUUCCC
rnacentral:lncRNA from 7 species